rnacentral:rRNA from 1 species
UACGGAGGAGGCAAGCGUUAUCCGGAAUUAUUGGGCGUAAAGCGUCCGCAGGUGGCACUUCAAGUCUGUCGUCAAAGACUGGGGCUUAACCCUGGAAAGGCGGUGGAAACUGAAGCGCUAGAGUGCGGUAGGGGUAGAGGGAAUUCCCGGUGUAGCGGUGAAAUGCGUAGAGAUCGGGAAGAACAUCGGUGGCGAAGGCACUCUGCUAGGCCUGAUUUCGCGACUGACACUCAGGGACGAGAGCCAGGGGAGCGAAUGGG